rnacentral:rRNA from 1 species
AUUGAACGCUAGCGGGAUGCUUUACACAUGCAAGUCGAACGAUUGGCGGACGGGUGAGUAAUAUAUCGGAACGUGCCCAGUAGCGGGGGAUAACUACUCGAAAGAGUGGCUAAUACCGCCUACUAUUGGAGCGGCCGAUAUCGGAUUUGCUAGUUGGUGGGGUAAAGGCUCACCAAGGCAACGAUCCCUAGCUGGUUUGAGAGGACGACCAGCCACACUGGGACUGGGAAACGGCCCAGAGUCCUACGGGAGGCAGCAGUGGGGAAUUUUGGACAAUGGGGGAAACCCUGAUCCAGCAAUCCCGCGUGUAUGAGAAGGCCUUCGGGUUGUAAAGUACUUUUGGCAGAGAGGCGAUAUCUGCAGAAUAAGCACCGGCUAACUACGUGCCAGCAGCCGCGGUAAUAC